rnacentral:tRNA from 1 species
AUAUAUUUAUUGUUUAUUUAUUGUUUAUUUAAUUAUUUAUUAUUUAAUAUAUUUAAUUAUUAUUUAU